rnacentral:lncRNA from 1 species
CUUGGCCUGAGGCCUGGACUCUGUGAUACUUUACCAAAUGCAACUCAUGGAAACGGAAGGCAGAAAGGAAAUUUCUUCAGCUUGGGUCCCUCAGAGACAAAGAUAAGCAGCACGUUCAAGCUGGCAGGCCGUGGACACACAGAAAAUCUCCCUUAUCUUUGCAAUGUCUACUAGCAACAAAUUCAAUUACAUUUUAUUUGUUGCAGACAUGUAGGAGGAGGAUACACAUUUCUCAGAAUUUCUUCAACCUUUCUCUGGUAACUUGCAGCUUCCAAACAGGAAUCUUCCUCUUGCCUUCCUCAUCAGGCUACCUGAAGAAUUCCUUGAAAGGUUUCAGACUUACAAAAAACAGGAACACUGACUGUGUUCUAACUCCCUUGCCUUUAGAACAUCCCAAAUAUCUGCCUUGGCUUGUAUCCAGAUGUCUCCCAAAGUCU